rnacentral:lncRNA from 1 species
GAUAGGUUCGGACAAGGCUCUAAUUCACUGAAUAUCCUUUCUCUCUUGAUUUUUGGCUAAAAUUCUUGUCGGCUUUUAGCAGGAUUCUGCAGGUGAGGAUUAGAUUGGUAUCAGAGCAUCACAUUUUUUGCCUUAUUUGCAAUGCAUUUAUAAAUUUUUAAAUCUCCAUGCUGGACAGACACCCAAAUUUAAAGGUUUUCUAUAUAUUUACACAAGCACGCACACAUCUUAGUUCCUUGAAAC